CUGUGCAGAGGGAGGCGGAGUCAUUCAGACACGUACCUUAGAGGGAACCUUGUUCCUGUCCCAUUUUUUAAGAUUAAUAUGUACAUUGAUGAUGCUAUCUUCAAGCAGUCACUUUGCAAGCUAAGAUUGAGAGAGAAAGGAAACAUGCAGGAAAGCAGAAAAAUGAAAGAAACUGAUUGUAGCUUGCAGAAGAAAAUUGAAGUGUUCCUCCAAAUGCUGGAAUGAAAAAGCUCUGGAAAAAAGCAGGAGUAUUUCAACUGAAAAUGGGAGAAUAUUUAUAAGAUGUGUUGCCCCUGCUCUGUGUCCUUAGCUGGUAGCACAGAGGUAGAAUCAGAGGUAGACUGGCCUGCUGGAAGCCUAUUGGUUGAAAGGGCGGGAGAUCUAGCCGCUUCCGAAGAUGAAGUAGGAGGAUUUAUGGCUGUUUGCCAAAGGUAAGACCGAAGUCUUUGGAGCCUCUG